rnacentral:lncRNA from 1 species
GACCUGCAUCCUCCCGCUUCAUUUUCUGGUUAGUGGGACGUGCCCUGCCGUUACUACUGCGAUUCUAGAAUUGAGAAAAGGAGGCACAGAGAGCUAAGUAACUUGACAACAGUCGUGAUGAGGACCAGAGUCUCCCUAGGACACAGACAACCCCUGAGUGAUGGGGAUGGGGCUUGGGUGCAGGGACCUGGAAGAAGGCAGGUGCCAGGGAAGGGACAGGAACAGGGAGGCCACCCAGAGGCCAGCAAAUGCUGGAGCUACUUCCUUGUGGGCCUGAGCCUGGGGGACCUGCGGGGUCAGGGCCAGGGAGCCACGGAGGGAACAGCCGGACGCUUGGCUCUGGGGGCGCAUACUGGCCGUCACCGCCCUGGACACAUGGUGAGAAGGAGCCCAGUGGUGUCUGACCCGAGGUGAGGUCCUCGCUCUUGUCAUACUCCCCUGCCCAGUCCCUUCCUACGGGACCUGAGUCAGCUCCAGGAAAGCUCAGCCUGGAGGAGAGAGGGACAAUAAGAGUAGGUCGCCUCGGUCCCAGGGCUCUUCUCCUGGGCAGGAGGGGACCCAGGGGGCCACGCUGAUGCCCUGUCUCUGCACCAGACUGUGCCGUGGUCCCCUGGGGAGUCGAAGGCAGCCCUGGGUCCCUGCCUCCAAGCCCUGGGAAGCUGGCUUCCUCUCCCCUGACCAUCCACAGACUCGGAUGCUGGCACAAGGGGGCGCCCGUGGACUUUGCAGCGCUUUCUGCUUGCUCCCCAGACCCUUCCAGGCCUGCGCAUGCGGGAAAGCAACUCGGGCCCAGGAGACACAGACAGCGAGUGAAACAGUGACCGCACUCUCACUGGGAGCCUGCAAAGGGCCGGCAACUCAGUUUUCAUUAACUCUCUCCUUCAAAGUGGUCCCUGCUAACCCCGUUUUGUAGAUGAAGAGAGUCUGAGGGCCAGAGAGGUUACCAGAUCGCCCAAAUUCACUGGACCAGUGGGAGGGAGGGGAGGAGAGGUGGGGUUGGCCCCCAGGCAGUGGUUCUACGAGAGACUGGACCUCCUCCUCACAGGGACUUUCGCCCGAGCAGGCAUGUCCUGCAGCCCCAACCCAUCCUCAGAGGCUGCAGUCUGGGGUGCUCCCUGCAGCUUUGCCCUCAGGGGCAACAGGGUGGGAUGAGGGGUCGUGGGUAGGUGGUGUCUUUGAGGAGACAGGAUGCGCUCAUUGCUGAAAAGCACUGCUCAGGCAGCAACACGGGCUGCUCUUCAGACCCUCCAAUCUGUGGGGUUAAAGACGCACCUACAGGGGCUGGCCCAGUGGCAUAAUGGUUAAGUUUGCAUGCUCCACUUUGGUGGUCCAGGGUUCACAGAUUCAGAUCCUGGGCAUGGACCUGCACACCGGCUCAUCAAGCUAUGCCAUGGCGGUGUCCCACAUACAAAAUAGAGGACGAUUGGAGCGGAUGUUAGCUCAGGGACAAUCUUCCUCACCAAGAAACAAACAGACAAACCAACAAACAAUAACACACCUACUAUGUAUUUCACAAGAACACAUGGAUGCCCACGGACUUCCACGAGCCCAGGAUAAUUGACCAUGGUGUGGAGAGGAGAUUGGACGAGGACUAUAGAUGAGAAGAUGCAGAGAUGAUGAGCAGAAUGGGAUUGCCUGUUCCAGAGUGUCUCCAUGGACUUCAUCUCCUUGUGCCUCCUAUGAACAUCUUCCUGGGGCUUUCAGAACCAGGGCAGCAUCGGGGGCAACAUCAGGAACUUGAUGGGGCCAUGCGCUGGGUUAGACAGUAUCCUCCUCAAAUUCACGUCCACUUGGAUCCUCAGAAUAGGACCUUAUCUGGAGAUCUGGUCCGUGUAGAUAUAGUCAAGAUGAGGUUGUGCUGGAUUAGAGUUGGCCCUAAUUCAAUGACUGGAGUCCUCAUAUGACAAAGGAAGAGAGACUGAGACACUGACACGCAGGAGAGGAAGGCCACGUGAGGACAGAGUUAGAGGUCUGUUAGAACCGAGGAACGCCGAGGAGCGCCAGGGCCCCUGGAAGCUAAAAGAGGCAAUGAGGGGUCCUCCCCUAGAGACCCCCCAGAGGGGAGCACGGCCCUGCUGACACCUUGAUUUUGGACUUUUGGCUUCUGGAACUGGGAGAGAACACGUUUCUAUUGCUUUAAGCCACACACUUUGCAGUCAUUUGUUCCAGCAGCCACAGAAAACGAGUGUAGGCAGCAGCAACGGACACAGCCACAAAGCCAAGGCCUUGUCCCCAUCAUCUGCACCUGACACAGAGACAGACGGCAUUGUUAUUUUCCAGGGACCGUGUGAGGGGAAUCAGGAACUAAAGAAAAGAUGCAACACUGUGACACCACUGAGGUUAUCCUAAGAUUAAACAAACAAACAAAGGCAGUUUCCCUGGGGAAAUGGCACACACAGGAACCAGGAAGUGACCACGUGCCCAGCAUCACAGCUGACUCUGGACAAGGAUAUAAAGGCUCUGGGCCCAGGAGAGUCCACACCUGACCCUCCCUUCUCUACCUGAUCCUCUGACCUGCUCCACCCUCAACCCACCAGAACCAUGGGCUGCUGUGGCUGCGGCUCCAGCUGUGGGGGCUGUGGCUCCAGCUGCUGUGUGCCCGUGUGCUGCUGCAAGCCCGUGUGCUGCUGUGUGCCAGCCUGUUCCUGCUCCAGCUGGGGACUGUGGCUCAUGUGGGGGCUGUAGCUCCUGUGGCUGCUCCCUGUCCAGCUGCUGUGUCCCCGUUUGCUGCCAGUGCAGGAUCUGAGGCUCGAUCUCAGACCUCAGGUGAGCCCAGGCUCCCCUGGAAGUGGACAGAGCCCCACCCCCGUCUUCCAGACCUGGGAGUAGUAUUCCCUGAGUCCUGAGGAAGGAAAUGACCCCGUCACAGUCCUUGACCUGUCCUGUGACCCCCCUUUCCAUGGCUUACCACAGGGAGUCUCCAUCUCGCCCCGGAGCUCCCAGAGCCCUGGAAUCUUCUCCAACAAGCCCUUUGCCAGAUCCAGCCCAGGAAGGGCCCAUCCCUGUCCAUGGGCUCUGACUGUUCCUCCCUCUUGUCCCCUCUCCCUCCACCCCCCCAUCGAGCCUGCCCUGCAGCCAAGAUCAGAACUGGGGGUGGGGGG